CUACCGCUUUUCUCCAUUGAAAUGUUAGGCAAAGCAGCUCUCUCGAGUCGCUCGCCUUUUCUACUCACUUCUAGAGGAUUUCACAAGCCAAAGGUGACUUACCUCGGCCGCUGAUCAUUUUGAACAGUUUGGGUUGCGCUACUGGACUUUUCUACCUAUAUACUCUGUUUUUAGUCUUUGACAAUGUUAUAUAUGUUAGAGAGA